rnacentral:lncRNA from 1 species
UUUAAGUCGGUGCAUAUGGAGAGGCAGCAAAGUAAAAUGUCAACAAGACAGCAGAAAUUUGAAAUAAUGUAUUGCUAUAAUUUAGAGGGUAAAUUGUAAAAUCUUCUUAAGAAUAAAAGAAAAGGGGGAAUUAUCAGCAUUUGUUCAAUUGGGUCCAAAUUUCCCUCCUCUGUGAAUUAACGGUUUAAACUUUAAACAGAAGUUGGAUUCAAGAACUGAAUUUUCUAUAUCAACAAUCUCUUCUCAUUCCCAUUAUAUUUGGUCUUCUGCAUUUCAAAAAGUAUUAGGCAUCCACCCCCUUAUAAAUCCCAUACAUUUUUCAUUUUCUUGAAUUCUCAUUGAUCACCAACUCUUUUUCAGCUUCGUUCUUUUAUCAGGUUAAGAAGCUUUACAUCGAUAAACUAGAUUUUUCAGCAUGCAUCCUUGUUAUUUCUGUUUUAUCUUUAUUG